rnacentral:rRNA from 1 species
CCUACGGGAGGCAGCAGUGGGGAAUCUUGGACAAUGGGGGGAACCCUGAUCCAGCGACGCCGCGUGAGUGAAGAAGUUUUUCGGUAUGUAAAGCUCUAUCAGCAGGGUAGAAAAUGACGGUACCUGACUAAGAAGCCCCGGCUAACUCCGUGCCAGCAGCCGCGGUAAUACGCAGGGGGCAGGCGUUAUCCGGAUUUACUGGGUGUAAAGGGAGCGUAGACGGUGCAGCAAGUCUGAUGGGAAAGGUCGGGGCCCAACCCCGGGACUGCAUUGGAUACUGUUGAACGGGAGUACAGGAGAGGUAAGCGGAAGUCCUAGUGUAGCGGGGAAAUGCGUAGAUAGUAGGAGGAACACCAGUGGCGAAGGCGGCUUACUGGACUGUAACUGACGUUGAGGCUCGAAAGCGUGGGGAGCAAACAGGAGUAGAUACCCUAGUAGUC